CACUACUAGAAACUAUUCUACAACUCAAUCCAACCAAUAGAGGGCUGAUUUCCUUGCUUUACAAUAAAAUGUUAAAUUUGACACAUACCUCUUCAUCCAAGCUCAAGACACUGUGGGAAGAAGACUUAAACAUGACAACCUCUGAUGAAACAUGGGCCUCUAUACUCAAACAUGUCAACACUACAUCACUAUGUGCCCGCCAUUGUUUAAUCCAGUUCAAAGUGGUGCAUAGAGCCCAUUUCUCAAAAUCCAGAUUAUCCCGUAUCUACCCUGAAAUCACUCCAUACUGUGACAGAUGCAAAACUGCUGAAGCCUCACUGGUCCACAUGUACUGGUCUUGUCCCAAUCUCACUCAGUUCUGGUCAGAGGUUUUUCGUACCCUGUCCAGAAUUCUCAGUGUGACGCUGGCCCCCGGCCCCCUUCUUGCUCUGUUUGGCAUCAGUGGGAAUGAGGUGCUUCUACCGGCCUCUAAAAAACAGGCAUUAUCAUUCUGUUCCCUGUUGGCCAGAAGGGCAAUCCUACUGAGGUGGCGGGACGCUGCCCCUCCCACUCACAAACAGUGGUUAUAUGACCUCAUGGCCUGUCUAAAACUGGAAAAGAUAAGACACUCACUUCAGAACUCCACUGGGAAAUUUCAAGACAUGUGGGGACCCUUCCUUGAUGCUUUUCAAAAUCUAUAAGAAUUUUUCAGCGAACUCUCUUAAGUCAGGUGUGGAAAUACAGUGUGCGGGUGCAGGCAGUGACCUGGGUGGGAAUGAAUGGGAUUGUUUUGCAGGGAUUAUGUUACUUUGGGAUAUAUUAUACAUUUGUUUAUAUUCUUUUUUUUUCUCUUUCUUUCCCUUUUUUCUUUUUCUUUUUUUUUCUUUUAUUUCACAGCCGAAGAUACAUUUUUGGACUCAUUUCACAGCUUAAAUGUACUACUUAACCUUAAUGUACAGACCACCUGGGUCUGGGUGCAGUUCCCCCCUCCAGGGGCAAGGGUACCUAGACCCGGUUCGUAGAGUACGCUUGGGGAGUGUGAUCGUGUGUACAGCGUCUCUUUAUGUCUGUCUCCACGUUGGUUGAGUGUGGAGUAAGUGCAUAUGAGAGCAUGAGGGUGGGAAUGGAUGUUUGUGUCUAUAUGUCAGGUUGGGUAUCAGACGCCACCUCUCUGGGGACAUCUCAGGCCCUCCAAGGUUUGGAGGCCUAUCUCCACCCACCACCACUUCCCCUGCCAGUGGCGGACUCCCUCAGGUGUCAGUGCGUUGGUGGUUCUUUGUGUCUGGGGGUGGGCGUCCGGGUACACACCGGCUCACUCCUUGGCGGCCGCUUAUCGGGGCCUGGAGCCUGGGGCUCGCUCGGGCCACUUCGGAGGUGGGGUGCCCCCGGCCUCUCGGCCUGGGGCUCGGUCACUCAGGCACAGCUGGCUGCCGGCGGAGCUCACGGGCGCGUCACUGCAACUCCCCCUGGCUUCUGCUCCGUGGCUGCUGAGUGAGCCCUCAUCUGGGACUCUCCUCAGCUCUUACUGGGACAGUGGCGCGGCUGCCCCUCUGUUGGUCUUCCUUGGUCUGUUGUGUUCUGGGGGCCUCUGGAUGUCUGGAGUUUUGUUCUCCUCCAUACCUGCUUCAUGCCCUGGUGGACGGGGCUGUGGCCCCCCCACACCCUCUAGCAGAUCAUUACAUGGAGAAACCUUUGGAAUGCAAGCAUGCUGAUCCACACAGGUAUGCACACAGGUGUACAAACGGAUAUUCACAGACGCGGACUACAGCUUUCUUGGCUGCUGCCUCAAAGCACAUUGUGCGCUGUCUAUCUUGCGUGCUGCACAAUAUCGUUUAUUAUUUAGUAUCUACUGCUAGCUAGUUUAUUGUGAUGGUGCCUUUUUUUAUUUUUGUUGCUCUUUGUUGUUUGCUUUCUCUUCUGGGUUUUUUCUCCAUACAGGUGACCCAGGUGUUUUUUUGUUUUUUUUUUGUUUGUUUUUUUUCUUUCUUCCCCCCCUUCUCACCGUCUCUUCUCCCCUUUGGUUUUCUUUCUCUCCCUCUCUUUCUUUCAUUCUUUCUCCCUGUCCUAUCCCCCAGUCAUGUCUGUCCCGUUUGUAGCAACUGUAAAUAAAAUAAAUUCAUAAUUAUAAUAAAGGUCAAUCAAAUGGACCAAUAUCGCAAGGCCAUGAUGAUCCACUUGGUAAAAUAAAUCCGCUUGGCAUCUUUCUUGGCCUUAAGACAACAAUUCUGAUGGCUAUAGAUCCAAAUGGGACACAAAAAAAAAAAAAAACCCUUAAUGUACAGAUCAUCUGUAAUCCUUCUCUUUUCUUUCUGUCUAUAUGUAUAAUAUAUAUGUUGAUGUUUAUGUGUACAAAAGGAAACCUCUUAAUAAAAAAGACAUUGUUUAAAAAAAAAGUGGGAUACUUAGAUGUCGGUUAAGUGGAGCUUCCUGUUAAGCUGCGGGAAGCGCUUAUAAAUUAACAUAAGACUUAGAAAUCGGGCCGCUGUCCUGGACAGAGAACGGUCAAUUGAACAGCAAGGUGGGCAAACCUGGGCUUAGAGGCUUUUAAAUCUGUCGAAAAGGUAGGAUGACCGAUAUCGGAGGCAGAGGAAGUGACGUUGAAAAUGUUUGUUUUCUCUUUGAUCUUUUAGUAGAAUAAGCGGUUAUAAUGCACACUUUCUUACACAUACUGAAAAAGUGCUCAUGAAGAGAUGAUCUGUUGUGAAAGGUGACUUAGAGUGCAGUAAAAGGUCAAUGCAUGCACGCUUAUGGUCACAGAUAUUACGUAGAUUUAUUUCUAGGGUAGAGGUGAAACAUUUUGCUUUGUCUUUGCUUAGCAAGUAGUGAUGCAGAAGGUGUUAAAGAUAUUCAUGCCAUGAAUAAG
ensembl:lncRNA